rnacentral:rRNA from 1 species
CUGUAAGACUGGGAUAACCCCGGGAAACCGGGGCUAAUACCGGAUAAUACUUUCUUUUGCAUAAAGGAAAGUUGAAAGGCGGCUUCGGCUGUCACUUACAGAUGGGCCCGCGGCGCAUUAGCUAGUUGGUGAGGUAACGGCUCACCAAGGCGACGAUGCGUAGCCGACCUGAGAGGGUGAUCGGCCACACUGGGACUGAGACACGGCCCAGACUCCUACGGGAGGCAGCAGUAGGGAAUCUUCCGCAAUGGACGAAAGUCUGACGGAGCAACGCCGCGUGAGUGAUGAAGGUUUUCGGAUCGUAAAACUCUGUUGUUAGG